AUUGAACGCUGGCGGCAGGCCUAACACAUGCAAGUCGAACGAGCGGCGGACGGGUGAGUAAUGUAUGGGAAACUGCCCGAUAGAGGGGGAUAACUACCGGAAACGGUUGCUAAUACCGCAUACUAUUGGAUGCACCCAGAUGGGAUUAGCUUGUUGGUGGGGUAAAGGCUCACCAAGGCGCCGAUCCCUAGCGGGUCUGAGAGGAUGACCAGCCACACUGGAACUGAGACACGGCCCAGACGCCUACGGGAGGCAGCAGUGGGGAAUAUUGCACAAUGGGCGCAAGCCUGAUGCAGCCAUGCCGCGUGUAUGAAGAAGGCCUUCGGGUUGUAAAGUACUUUCAGCGGGGAGGCGUUACCCGCAGAAGAAGCACCGGCUAACUCCGUGCCAGCAGCCGCGGUAAUUC
rnacentral:rRNA from 1 species